UCGACGAACCUUCGGGUUAGUGGCGGACGGGUGAGUAACGCGUGAGAAUCUGCCCUCAGGAGGGGGAUAACGGUUGGAAACGACCGCUAAUACCCCAUAUGCCUAUUGGUGAAAUGAAUUUCGCCUGAGGAUGAGCUCGCGUCUGAUUAGCUAGUUGGUGAGGUAAUGGCUCACCAAGGCUUCGAUCAGUAGCUGGUCUGAGAGGAUGAUCAGCCACACUGGGACUGAGACACGGCCCAGACUCCUACGGGAGGCAGCAGUGGGGAAUUUUCCGCAAUGGGCGAAAGCCUGACGGAGCAACGCCGCGUGAGGGACGAAGGCCUCUGGGCUGUAAACCUCUUUUCUCAAGGAAGAAGAUAUGACGGUACUUGAGGAAUAAGCCACGGCUAAUUCCGUGCCAGCAGCCGCGGUAAUACGGGAGUGGCAAGCGUUAUCCGGAAUUAUUGGGCGUAAAGCGUCCGCAGGCGGCU
rnacentral:rRNA from 1 species